AUUGAACGCUGGCGGCAUGCUUUACACAUGCAAGUCGAACGGCAGCACGGGCUUCGGCCUGGUGGCGAGUGGCGAACGGGUGAGUAAUGCAUCGGAACGUACCCAUUUGUGGGGGAUAACUACGCGAAAGCGUGGCUAAUACCGCAUACGCCCUACGGGGGAAAGCAGGGGAUCGUAAGACCUUGCGUUAAUGGAGCGGCCGAUAUCUGAUUAGCUUGUUGGUGAGGUAAAGGCUGACCAAGGCGACGAUCGGUAGCUGGUCUGAGAGGAUGAUCAGCCACACUGGAACUGAGACACGGUCCAGACUCCUACGGGAGGCAGCAGUGGGAAUAUUGGACAAUGGGCGCAAGCCUGAUCCAGCAAUUCCGCGUGGGUGAAGAAGGUCUUCGGAUUGUAAAGCCCUUUCGUUGGGGACGAUGAUGACGGUACCCAAAGAAGAAGACCCGGCUAACUUCGUG
rnacentral:rRNA from 1 species